ensembl:lncRNA
GCUUAUUUUAACUAGCUGGCUGGCUAGCUAGAGUUAAUAGUGAAGACUUUGAGUAUUCAUGAAUAUGACUUAAAAAUCCUGUCAGGUUAGCUCAUAUUAGCUAGCUGGCUAGUGUUUAGCACUAACAAAUUUGCAUAUUCAUGAAUAUGACUUAAAAAUCCUGUCAGGUUAGCUCAUAUUAGCUAGCUGGCUAGUGUUUAGCACUAAAAAAAUUGCGUAUUCAUGAAUAUGACUUAAAAAAUCCUGUCAGGUUAGCUCAUAUUAGCUAGCUGGCUAGUGUUUAGUACUACAGAUUUUGAGUUUUCAUGAAUAUGAUGUAAAAAAAAUCCUGUCAGGUUAGCUCAUAUUAGCUAGCUGGCUAGUGUUAACAGUGAAGAUUGUGAGUUUUUAUGAUGAUGAGAAAAAUGAUCAGGGAGCUCUCUG